rnacentral:rRNA from 1 species
AGAAACUACAAAGGAAUUGACGGGGCCCGGCACAAGCGGUGGAGUAUGUGGUUUAAUUCGAUGCAACGCGAAGAACCUUACCUGGUCUUGACAUCCCGGAGACCCUUAGGAAACUAGGGGGUGCUUCCAUCUGGAAGAAUCUGGAGACAGGUGCUGCAUGGCUGUCGUCAGCUCGUGUCGUGAGAUGUUGGGUUAAGUCCCGCAACGAGCGCAACCCUUGCCUUUAGUUGCCAGCAGUUCGGCUGGGCACUCUAAAGGGACUGCCGGUGUUAAACCGGAGGAAGGUGGGGAUGACGUCAAGUCCUCAUGGCCUUUAUGACCAGGGCUACACACGUACUACAAUGGCCGAUACAAAGGGCAGCGACACUGCGAGGUGAAGCCAAUCCCGUAAAAUCGGUCUCAGUCCGGAUUGGAGUCUGCAACUCGACUCCAUGAAGUUGGAAUCGUUAGUAAUCGUGGAUCAGCAUGCCACGGUGAAUACGUUCCCGGGCCUU